rnacentral:rRNA from 1 species
UACGUAGGGUGCAAGCGUUGUCCGGAAUUAUUGGGCGUAAAGAGCUCGUAGGCGGUCUGUCGCGUCGGCUGUGAAAUCCCGAGGCUCAACCUCGGGUCUGCAGUCGAUACGGGCAAACUAGAGUAUUGCAGGGGAGACUGGAAUUCCUGGUGUAGCGGUGAAAUGCGCAGAUAUCAGGAGGAACACCGGUGGCGAAGGCGGUUCUCUGGGCAUGUCCUGACGCUGAGGAGCGAAAGUGUGGGGAGCGAACAGG